UGGGGUUGUAGCUCAGUGGUAGAGCUCUCACCUAGCACAUGUGAGGCACUGGGUUUGAUCCUCAGCACCACAA
rnacentral:tRNA from 1 species